rnacentral:rRNA from 1 species
AUUGAACGCUGGCGGCAGGCUUAACACAUGCAAGUCGAGCGGAUGAAGGUAGCUUGCUACUGGAUUCAGCGGCGGACGGGUGAGUAAUGCUUAGGAAUCUGCCUAUUAGUGGGGGACAACGUUCCGAAAGGAGCGCUAAUACCGCAUACGUCCUACGGGAGAAAGCAGGGGACCUUCGGGCCUUGCGCUAAUAGAUGAGCCUAAGGCGGAUUAGCUAGUUGGUAGGGUAAAGGCCUACCAAGGCGACGAUCUGUAGCGGGUCUGAGAGGAUGAUCCGCCACACGGGGACGGAGACACGGCCCAGACUCCUACGGGAGGCAGCAGUGGGGAGUAUUGGGCAAUGGGGGGAACCCUGAUCCAGCCAUGCCGCGUGUGUGAAGAAGGCCUUUUGGUUGUAAAGCACUUUAAGCGAGGAGGAGGCUACCUAGAUUAAUACUUUAGGAUAGUGGACGUUACUCGCAGAAUAAGCACCGGCUAACUCUGUGCUAGCCGCCGCCGUAAAAC